ensembl:lncRNA
GAGAGGAAGACAGUACAAUGUGCUACUUACAAAGAUUGGAGACAGACUUUCCAGGUGCAAAUCCUGACACCAUUCCUUGGUUAAUUUUGUGAUUUGGGGACAAAUCACUUUGCCUAUAUGAAGCUUGGAUUUUCUCAUCUGUAUUAUGAAGAUAUUAACAGCACCAACCUUACAAGGUUGUUAUGAGAACAAAAUAAGCAUGUCCAUGUGUGAGCAUUUAACUUGCAGCACCAUGUGUGUUAAACUCUCAUUGUUAUUAAAGAAAGGCUUCUGGAAUUCUCAGAUGAAAAAAAAAUCACUUUGGUAAAUAGAAAUGUUGUAAUCUACCACUUCUUUUUUUCUUCAUACACAUCUUCCAUAAGAAAAGGAAAGGGCAAAGAAGUAAACAGGAGUAGUUAGAUUGCUAAAGCAAUUAUUCUCAAGCACAAAGUUAGUACGUCUGAAUAAAUGGCUUCUGAAAAGAAGAGACUAAAAUGCUACUUUAAGGUAGGAGUAACAAUUGGCAAUUUUGUGUUGCCACAUAAGCAGCUCAUAAUUAUAUGACUAAUCUGAGAGAGACAAGAUGAAAAAAGUGAAGAGUAUAAGAAUAUGUGACUAGUAGGAGGGCCACUUUUCUAAAGAGAUGAAACCAUUUGUAUCUGUUUCACUUUAGGCUGAGAAGUCCCUAAAGCAGAAGCAGAUACAUCAACUUUCUUGCUCACUUGAACUUCUUAUUUCUAUAUUACAGAUGAGUUGGUAAGGCCGAAGCAAUGACUAGAAAGCAAUCAUAUCAAGCCUGGAUGACUCCUAUCAGUUGUUCUUAUAAUGCAUCUACUUCUGCCAUGAUUUAUUAGUCAUGUUUGCUGGGCAGAAAAACAAAAAUGGCUACAAACUUACCAGGAAAAUAGCAUCCUUCUCAUCAUAUGCAUAUACGCAAAUGUUAGCUAAUGCAGUUGUUUAUGAAGAGCUGGUUACUUCAUGUGAAAAAAUUAAGUUAUAUUCCCUAUGAUAGCUCAUGUAAAAAACAGGAAUGAUAACCCUGCAUUUCUUCUUUGGCUACGGGAAUAAGUAUAAUAAUAAGGAUAUUGGGCACAGAGCUUGGUGCAUAUUAGUUGCUCAGCUAAUGUUAAGUGUUAAGUCCAUGCAAUCCCCUCCAAAAGAGUCUCCAGGAUCACAAAGAGCCUUCCAACAUGAGCAGCCAGAGGCUGUUUCUGACCAGUAACCUGCCCAAGACUCAGUGUGCCCAAGAGAAGCCCAGGGUCAUAAGAGGUAACUUUUCUAGGGAUGUGCCAUGGCAUUAUUUUCUCCCUUUCCAAACAUCCCAUUUAGAUGGUAAAAGGUAGAAAAAUAUUAAUAGCAUCUGACCAAGUUGUCCCAGCAGUUAAAUUGCCAUGCAUUUUUCUUUUUAGAAUGACCAGAAGAGUUCUUUAGUACCAAUGAGAAAUUAUGAUGAAUUAUGUAACAACAUAACAGAGAAAAGCAUUCACCAGAAUGCUCCUCAGGUUGAGUGUACAAGAAGGGUUUAAAGCAGAGGUGUCCAAUCUUUUGGCUUCCUUCACCCACAUUGGAAGAACAAUUGUCUUGGGCCACACAUAAAAUACACUAACACUAACGGUAGCUGAUGAGCCAAAAAAAAAAAAAAAAAAAAA